AUUGAACGCUGGCGGCAUGCCUUACACAUGCAAGUCGAACGGUAACGCGGGGCAACCUGGCGACGAGUGGCGAACGGGUGAGUAAUGCAUCGGAACGUGCCCAGUAGUGGGGGAUAGCCCGGCGAAAGCCGGAUUAAUACCGCAUACGACCUACGGGUGAAAGCGGGGGACUCGAAAGAGCCUCGCGCUAUUGGAGCGGCCGAUGUCAGAUUAGGUAGUUGGUGGGGUAAAAGCCUACCAAGCCGACGAUCUGUAGCUGGUCUGAGAGGACGACCAGCCACACUGGGACUGAGACACGGCCCAGACUCCUACGGGAGGCAGCAGUGGGGAAUUUUGGACAAUGGGCGCAAGCCUGAUCCAGCCAUGCCGCGUGAGUGAAGAAGGCCU
rnacentral:rRNA from 1 species